rnacentral:rRNA from 1 species
GAUCAGCCGUCUCCGAAUGCCUCUAGAUUAAGUUUGAUCAUGGCUCAGACCGAACGCUUAGCGGCAGGCCUAACACAUGCAAGUCGAACGGUAACAGGAAGCAGCUUGCUGCUUUGCUGACGAGUGAGCGGACGGGUGAGUAAUGUCUGGGAAACUGCCUGAUGGAGGGGGAUAACUACUGGAAACGGUAGCUAAUACCGCAUAACGUCGCAAGACCAAAGAGGGGGACCUUCGGGCCUCUUGCCAUCGGAUGUGCCCAGAUGGGAUUAGCUAGUAGGUGGGGUAACGGCUCACCUAGGCGACGAUCCCUAGCUGGUCUGAGAGGAUGACCAGCCACACUGGAACUGAGACACGGUCCAGACUCCUACGGGAGGCAGCAGUGGGGAAUAUUGCACAAUGGGCGCAAGCCUGAUGCAGCCAUGCCGCGUGUAUGAAGAAGGCCUUCGGGUUGUAAAGUACUUUCAGCGGGGAGGAAGGCGAUAAGGUUAAUAACCUUGUCGAUUGACGUUACCCGCAGAAGAAGCACCGGCUAACUCCGUGCCAGCAGCCGCGGUAAUACGGAGGGUGCAAGCGUUAAUCGGAAUUACUGGGCGUAAAGCGCACGCAGGGCGGGNCUGUCCAAGUCCGAUGUGAAAUUCCCCGGGGCUUCAAACCCUGGGAACCUGCAUUCGAAACCUGGCAGGCUAGAGUCU